rnacentral:rRNA from 2 species
GGCGAUCAGAUACCGCCCUAGUUCUAACCGUAAACGAUGACAACCAGCGAUUAGUCGGCGUUAAUAUAUGACCCGACUAGCAGCUUCCGGGAAACCAAAGUUUUUCGUUUCCGGGGGAAGUAUGGUUGCAAAGCUGAAACUUAAAGGAAUUGACGGAAGGGCACCACCAGGAGUGGAGCCUGCGGCUUAAUUUGACUCAACACGGGAAAACUCACCCGGCCCGGACACCGUAAGGAUUGACAGACUGAGAGCUCUUUCUUAAUUCGGUGGGUGGUGGUGCAUGGCCGUUCUUAGUUGGUGGAGCGAUUUGUCUGGUUAAUUCCGAUAACGAACGAGACUCUGGCCUAUUAAAUAGACGAUAUAUUUACUAGUAUAUCGCGCUUCUUAGAGGGACAAGCGGCGUCUAGCCGCAUGAAAUAGAGCAAUAACAGGUCUGUGAUGCCCUUAGAUGUCCGGGGCUGCACGCGCGCUACACUGAAAGAAUCAGAGUGCGCUUUGCCUAGUUCGGAAGAACCGGGUAACCCAAGUAAAUUCUUUCGUGCUUGGGAUAGGGAAUUGCAAUUAUUUCCCUUAAACGAGGAAUUCCCAGUAAAUGCGGGUCAUAAGCUCGCGUUGAUUACGUCCCUGCCCUUUGUA